rnacentral:rRNA from 1 species
AUUGAACGCUGGCGGCAGGCCUAACACAUGCAAGUCGAACGGUAGCACAGAGAGCUUGCUCUCGGGUGACGAGUGGCGGACGGGUGAGUAACGUCUGGGAAACUGCCCGAUGGAGGGGGAUAACUACUGGAAACGGUAGCUAAUACCGCUUAACGUCGCAAGACCAAAGUGGGGGACCUUCGGGCCUCACACCAGCGGAUGUGCCCAGAUGGGAUUAGCUAGUAGGUGGGGUAAUGGCUCACCUAGGCGACGAUCCCUAGCUGGUCUGAGAGGAUGACCAGCCACACUGGAACUGAGACACGGUCCAGACUCCUACGGGAGGCAGCAGUGGGGAAUAUUGCACAAUGGGCGCAAGCCUGAUGCAGCCAUGCCGCGUGUAUGAAGAAGGCCUUCGGGUUGUAAAGUACUUUCAGCGGGGAGGAAGGCGGUGAAGUUAAUAACUUCACCGAUUGACGUUACCCGCAGAAGAAGCACCGGCUAACUCCGUGCCAGCAGCCGCAGUAA